CCUACGGGAGGCAGCAGUAAGGAAUAUUGGUCAAUGGACGCAAGUCUGAACCAGCCAUGCCGCGCGAAGGAUUAAGGUCCUCUGGAUUGUAAACUUCUUUUAUCUGGGACGAAAAAAGGCGAUUCUUCGUCACUUGACGGUACCAGAUGAAUAAGCACCGGCUAACUCCGUGCCAGCAGCCGCGGUAAUACGGAGGGUGCAAGCGUUAUCCGGAUUCACUGGGUUUAAACGGGUGCGUAGGCGGGCAGGUAAGUCAGUGGUGAAAUCCUAGAGCUUAACUCUAGAACUGCCAUUGAUACUAUCUGUCUUGAAUAUUGUGGAGGUAAGCGGAAUAUGUCAUGUAGCGGUGAAAUGCUUAGAUAUGACAUAGAACACCUAUUGCGAAGGCAGCUUACUACGCAUAUAUUGACGCUGAGGCACGAAAGCGUGGGGAUCAAACAGGAUUAGAUACCCUGGUAGUCCACGACCGUAACCGACUAGAUACUACGUACUAUUGUAGUAUACACUA
rnacentral:rRNA from 1 species